UACAGAGGUCUCGAGCGUUGUUCGGAUUCAUUGGGCGUAAAGGGUGCGUAGGCGGCGCGGUAAGUCGGGUGUGAAAUCUCGGAGCUUAACUCCGAAACUGCAUUCGAUACUGCCGUGCUUGAGGACUGGAGAGGAGACUGGAAUUUACGGUGUAGCGGUGAAAUGCGUAGAUAUCGUAAGGAAGACCAGUGGCGAAGGCGGGGUCUCUGGACAGUUCCCUGACGGCUGAGGCACGAAGGUCAGGGGGAGCAAAACGGGG
rnacentral:rRNA from 1 species